rnacentral:lncRNA from 1 species
AACUGCAAGGGUUGUCCCGGGACAGUGCCGGUACGAACCUCACCCCGCCGCCACCCCCGGGCCAGCUGCUGCAGUCAAUAAGGCGAGGGCCUAGCAGGCGCUCGUCGCCCUCCUGGUGGGGUUCGCUCGGGUGUUCCUACCAGGGUUGAAGAGGGCUAGGGAGCUGAGCUCCGGAAGGGCGGACUAGAGGCCCCAGCGGCCACUCCUAGAGAGGCGGGCAGCUCGGGAGGUCUGAGCGCAGAGGGCGGGCGGAGCCGCACGUUGCGUGGAAUCCCCUAGUUCAUUCCCGGGAGAGCCCCGGGCGCAGGACAGAGCGGUGGAGGGGCGCCUGGGAGCUCUGGGGGACACCAAGAGAAGAGAGGUUAGGGCCAGUGCGCAGCAAACGGGGAGGAACUACGACGCGCUGGGUAGAAAGAGUAAGAGAGGCGCACCCACUUUGCUGGUGAGGGGGGCACACGGGGAGCCUAAGAAAGGCCUAAAGAGGUAGUGGGUGUGAGCCAGCCUCGGGCGCGUUAAAAAGGGGGCGCCGGAGGGAGGCAAGGAGAGGAAGUUGGGUGUAGGAAGAAGCGAGAGGAAACUGUUGCCUGGACAGAGCGUGCCGUGCCAAAGCGCGGAAACGGGAUCAAGGAGGGGGCAUCAGGAAUCGCCUGGGGACCCCCCGGAGAGUGGCGGAAGCGGUGCCCUUGGGCGCAGCAAAGAGAGAAGGGAGCACAGGCUGAGAUAGAGACAGUCCUGGGCGCUGGAGAGCAGGAGCCCCCGGAGCGGCAGGGAAAGGAACGUAGAGCCUGCAUGCUCGGGGUAUGAGCUUACUGCGCUCGCUAGGGUGGCGCGCACUGGGGCUCUAGAAAAGAGGGUUGAGAAGCCCCGGGCAAGUGCCUAGGAAGGUCAGAGGAGUCAGCAAAGUCCACGGAAGAACUUCCCCGGGUUGGAGAGGAAACGCACCCUGGGAGCUGGAAAGAAGAGGAAAGCUAGCCUGGGGGAAGCUUGAUCAGGGCUCUGAGUACCACGAGGAGUGCAGAGGAGGUGCUGAUGAUUGCGGGGAGAGCUCUGAGAGCCCGAGAAAGGUGAGGAGGAGAUGGGGAAACUGAAGCCCUAGAGGAAAAGAAGACUAAAUGUAUUACCAUCUGACCCACUUCCUGGCCAGCCUGUUCACCUGUCUGCUGUUCUUCAUUGAUGUGCAAUCUAAGACUCAGAGAAGCUGGAGAAUUUUCCUAACGUCACACAGCAAAGGAAUGGAAGACUCAGGACAAGAAUACACGAUCCUCUCCUUCCAACAUGUCACCCAGCAGAACAAGAGAAGGAAUCACAAUUGGUCCAUGACAGUCACGGUCAUCUCAUUCCUCUUGCCAGUGGCAGGUGUAUGUGUGAGUUUGCAGCUCAAUCCUGGCCAAGGGGAUCCAAGGACUGCUGAAGAGGCAUGUCUGCACAUGUCACCUAGAACAUCUCCAGCCAUCAUGUGAUCUCUGGGGGAGGCAUUCCCAACUCUCUGAGAGAAGCAGACCAGAAAGAUGGAAAGAAAGCACCUGGCUCCAGGAUGAUGACAUUGAGCCGAUGAAUUAACCACCUUUGUGCUGCUCUAACCUUCAGAGUUCACCUUAACAUGAGAAAAUAAAACCCUUAUUGCUUA